UACAGAGGGUGCAAGCGUUGUUCGGAAUUAUUGGGCGUAAAGCGCGUGUAGGCGGCUACGCAAGUCGGGUGUGAAAGCCCUCAGCUUAACUGAGGAAGUGCGCCCGAAACUGCGCAGCUUGAGUACCGGAGAGGAUGGCGGAAUUCCCGAAGUAGAGGUGAAAUUCGUAGAUAUCGGGAGGAACACCGGUGGCGAAGGCGGCCAUCUGGACGGAUACUGACGCUGAGACGCGAAAGCGUGGGUAGCAAACAGG
rnacentral:rRNA from 1 species